UUUUGAUUGGUGUGGUUGUUGUAACUGCAGGGGGUCCACCAUUAUUAAAGAAAGUAAGCCAAUAGAAACCAUCCAAUUUCAUAAAAUUUGAUGCUUAGUGUGUGCCCAUGGAAAAACCGUAUAUAUAAAGCUUACUAUAAUCCCUCACAAUCAGGGCAUUCACGGGAAUUGCAAUCAGGGCAGUCCCGGGAUCUGAAGCCAGGUCGAGGUAGGGGAGGGGCUCUCUUUCUGUCCUGCUUGAGGAAAAUCUGAAGCUGCUGGCUUCCCGUAUGUUAAUAAUUUUCUGUUUUCAUCUGCAAUAUAUGUAACACCUACUUAACUUACCUUAACAACAAGCAAUCACGGUAAUUACAUUCAAAUCAAAUAUUUCGAAACUCAGCUAAAUUUGAUUGCACUACCAGAAAAUUCGAAUUAAAUAUAGUAAAUUUUACAUUAAAUAGGUUUUAAAGACACGAACCUUCAUGAUUUGAUGAAAUCAAAGAUAAGAUGGAGAUGAUUAUCAGGAUGGAAUAAACAAUUCUCGCGCAAGAGGAGGAAGCCAUGUUCAGGUUUCUCAAU
rnacentral:lncRNA from 1 species